UGCCCGGAGAGGUCUCGCACGACCCCCUGCCUACAUACCUCGUCUGGAACGAGGAUCAGGGCGAUGUAGUUCCCCUGAAAGGGACUAAAUUGCUAACCAGAAACCGGGGAAAGAUACACAACUAGGGAGCUGAGACUCGAGCCUAAUGUUGUCAUGCAUCGUUUACCCUAAGUUCGGUUUUCUAUCCUACUUGCAUAAGCAAACUAACCUAACCAGGAAAGAAGCUAGCACACAAGCAU
rnacentral:lncRNA from 1 species